GGGCAUGUAGCUCAGUGGUAGAGCACUUACCUAGUGUGCAUAAGGCUCAAGUUUCAUGCCCA
rnacentral:tRNA from 1 species